GACGAACGCUGGCGGCGUGCUUAACACAUGCAAGUCGAACGGAAAGGCCUGCUUUCCCUUGUGGAUUGCGGGUACUCGAGUGGCGAACGGGUGAGUAACACGUGAGUGAUCUGCCCCCAACUUGGGUAUAAGCCUGGGAAACUGGGUCUAAUUCCCGAUAGGACUGCAGGGUGGUGCCUGUGGUGGAAAACGAUUUUCUAGUGGUUGGGGAUGAGCUCGCGGCCUAUCAGCUUGUUGGUGGGGUAAUGGCCUACCAAGGCGGCGACGGGUAGCCGGCCUGAGAGGGGGGACGGCCACAUUGGGACUGAGAUACGGCCCAGACUCCUACGGGAGGCAGCAGUGGGGAAUAAUGCACAAUGGGCGGAAGCCUGAUGCAGCGACGCCGCGUGGGGGAUGACGGCCUUCGGGUUGUAAACUCCUUUCGACCGCGAGGAAGCCACCUGGUUGGAAGGGUGGUGACGGUAGUGGUAGAAGAAGCACCGGCUAACUACGUG
rnacentral:rRNA from 1 species